UGGGUUGUGGCUCAGUGGCAGAGUGCUUGCCUAGCAUGUGUGAGGCACUGGGUUUGAUUCUCAGCACCGCAU
rnacentral:tRNA from 1 species